rnacentral:piRNA from 1 species
ACUAAGAACUGAAAUGAGACAUA